rnacentral:rRNA from 1 species
AACGAACGCUGGCGGCAUGCCUAACACAUGCAAGUCGAACGAAGCCUUCGGGCUUAGUGGCGCACGGGUGCGUAACGCGGGGGAAUCUGCCCCUCGGUUCGGAAUAACACAGGGAAAUUUGUGCUAAUACCGGAUGAUGACGAAAGUCCAAAGAUUUAUCGCCGAGGGAGGAGCCCGCGUAGGAUUAGCUAGUUGGUGAGGUAAAGGCUCACCAAGGCGACGAUCCUUAGCUGGUCUGAGAGGAUGAUCAGCCACACUGGGACUGAGACACGGCCCAGACUCCUACGGGAGGCAGCAGUGGGGAAUAUUGGACAAUGGGCGAAAGCCUGAUCCAGCAAUGCCGCGUGAGUGAUGAAGGCCUUAGGGUUGUAAAGCUCUUUUACCAGGGAUGAUAAUGACAGUACCCGGAGAAUAAGCUCCGGCUAACUCCGUGCCAGCCGCCGCAGUAA